rnacentral:rRNA from 1 species
GUGUCAGCCGCCGCGGUAAUACGUAGGGGGCGAGCGUUGUCCGGAUUUACUGGGCGUAAAGCGCGUGUAGGCGGCCUCAUAAGUCGGGUGUGAAGGCCCGGGGCUCAACCCCGGGAUGCCGCCCGAGACUGUGGGGCUUGAGGACGGAAGAGGGGAGUGGAAUUCCUGGUGUAGCGGUGAAAUGCGUAGAGAUCAGGAGGAACACCCGUGGCGAAGGCGGCUCCCUGGUCCGUCCCUGACGCUGAGACGCGAAAGCGCGGGGAGCGAACGGGAUUAGAUACCCCGGUAGUCCGCGCCGUAAACGAUGGUCACUAGGUGUGCGAGGUAUCGACCCCUCGCGUGCCGCCGCUAACGCAGUAAGUGACCCGCCUGGGGAGUACGGCCGCAAGGUUGAA